GGGUGGGGUCACUCACCAGGGGGCGGGGUCACUCACCAGGGGGUUCUCCGAGAGCUGCCAGAGAUCGGGGUGCAGGCAGGGGGCGGGGUCACUCACGGGGGGCGGGGUCACUCACCAGGGGGUUCUCCGAGAGCUGCCAGAGGUCGGGGUGCAGGCAGGGGGCGGGGCAGGGGGCGGGGUCACUCACGGGGGGUGGGGUCACUCACCAGGGGGUUCUCGGAGAGCUGCCAGAGGUCGGGGUGCAGACAUGGGGCGGGGAAGG